rnacentral:rRNA from 1 species
GCAGUCGAACGGCAGCACGGGAGCAAUCCUGGUGGCGAGUGGCGAACGGGUGAGUAAUAUAUCGGAACGUGCCCAGUCGUGGGGGAUAACGCAGCGAAAGCUGUGCUAAUACCGCAUACGAUCUAUGGAUGAAAGCGGGGGAUCGCAAGACCUCGCGCGAUUGGAGCGGCCGAUAUCAGAUUAGCUAGUUGGCGGGGUAAAAGCCCACCAAGGCGACGAUCUGUAUCUGGUCUGAGAGGACGACCAGCCACACUGGAACUGAGACACGGUCCAGACUCCUACGGGAGGCAGCAGUGGGGAAUUUUGGACAAUGGGCGCAAGCCUGAUCCAGCAAUGCCGCGUGCAGGAUGAAGGCCUUCGGGUUGUAAACUGCUUUUGUACGGAACGAAACGGUCUCUCCUAAUACGAGGGGCUAAUGACGGUACCGUAAGAAUAAGCACCGGCUAACUACGUGCCAGCAGCCGCGGUAAUACGUAGGGUGCAAGCGUUAAUCGGAAUUACUGGGCGUAAAGCGUGCGCAGGCGGUGAUGUAAGACAGAUGUGAAAUCCCCGGGCUCAACCUGGGACCUGCAUUUGUGACUGCAUCGCUAGAGUACGGUAGAGGGGGAUGGAAUUCCGCGUGUAGCAGUGAAAUGCGUAGAUAUGCGGAGGAACACCGAUGGCGAAG